GCUCGUUUAACCACAUCCGCGCCUCCGCUGGAAACGCUUACAGGCGCCUGUCACCCGUUCCCUCCAUUUUGAAAGGGAAAAAAGGCUCUCCCCCUUCCCCUACUCGUAGGAGCUGGAGCCGGAGGAGCCGCGCUCAUGGCGUUCAGCCCUUGGCAGAUCCUGUCCCCAGUGCAGUGGGCGAAAUGGACCUGGUCCGCGGUGCGCGGCGGGGGCGCCGGAGAGGACGAGGCCGGAGGGCCCGAGGGCGAUCCCGAGGAGGAGGACUCGCAAGCCGAGACCAAAUCCUUGAGUUUCAGCUCGGAUUCAGAAGGUAAUUUUGAGACCCCUGAAGCUGAAACACCAAUCAGAUCACCUCUCAAGGAAUCCUGUGAUUCAUCAUUAGGAUUGGCAGCACCGGGGGCCAAAACCCAAGAAUCACAAGAAGUUGAUGAACAGCUGGUAGCAGAAGUGGUUGAAAAAUGCUCAUCUGAGACUUGUUCUAGACCCUCAGAAAAUGAGGUGUCACAGCAGGCUAUUGCUUCUUACCCAGUCAAGGAUUUCAAAGAAGAACCUGAACAUGAUAGUAGCAAAAUUUCAGUCGUGAGGCCAUUUUCGAUAGAAACCAAGAAUUCCACGGACGCCCCGGCAGCUCUAGGAACAAAGGCAGCUUAUGGCUGUCUAACUGUGGUCUCAGGCGAGGCUUUGCCCUCCAGCACACCAGAAGCCAUCCCCGACAAGGCAAUGACAGAAGGCACCAUGGGGGUGACGCUGGAGGCCUCCACAGAAGCUGACCUGAAGGCUGCCAGCUCCUGUCCAGAGCCUGUUCCCAGCAGAAGCAAGCUAAGAAAGCCCAAACCCGUCUCUCUGAGGAAGAAGACGAUCGGUGAAUUUUUAGAGGCUGAUGUUGCCCUAGAGGGCUCACCUCUCCCCCAGGCAUCCUAUCAGUUCUGUGCUGAUGAGAUGGAUGGGAAAGCAAAUCCUUUGCUAGGAGGCGCCAGGAUCCAGAAACCUCCUCCUGACACCAAGGAGACCUCGAGUGCCCCUGGCAGUGACACUAACGACUCUGGAGUUGAGCUGCUGGAGGAGUCCAGGAACUCACCUCUGAAACUCGAGUUUGAUUUCACGGAAGAUGUGGAAAAUGUAGAGUCCAGGAAAGGUCUUCCGAAGAAACUUGGCAGGAAACUGGGUAGCAAACUGCCUCCCAAGGUACAGAAAGAUAGCGUCAGUAAGCCAGUAGGCGCCAAAGGUGGGGACCAGCCUGCAGACCCAGCUGCAGACAGCGCUCCUCCCUCCCAGGCAUCUGCUAAGCUGGCUCCCAGCCAGUGGGAUAACCCCAACUUCAGUCCCUUUGGGGGCCUCUCCGCUCUGCAGAACACCCCCCCUCUCUCCUCUAAGGGCUCCUACCACCUUGACGAAUCCAUGGAUCCCUUUAAACCAACUACAACUUUAGCAAGCAGUGACUUUUGUUCUCCCGCCGGUAAUCAUAUUAAUGAAAUCUUAGAAUCACCCAAGAAGGCAAAGUCGCGUUUAAUAACGAGUGGCUGCAAGGUGAAGAAAUAUGAAACACAGUCUCUUGCUUUGGACGGGUGUUCUCAGGAUGAAGGAGCAGUGAUCUCCCAGAUUUCAGACAUUUCUAAUAGGGAUGGCCAUGCUACUGACGAGGAGAAACUGGCGUCCACUUCAUCUGGUCAGAAAUCAGCUGGGGCCGAGGUGAAAGGUGAGCCAGAGGAAGACCUGGAGUACUUUGAAUGUUCCAAUGUUCCCGUGUCUGCCAUAAAUCAUGCGUUUUCAUCCUCAGAAGCAGGCAUAGAGAAAGAGAUGUGCCAGAAGAUGGAGAAAGAUGGAUCUACCAUGACUGGACUGUUGGAGUCAUCUGUGGAGAAGGCCCCCGUGUCUGUGGCCUGUGGAGGGGAGAGCCCCUUGGAUGGCAUCUGCCUCAGCGAAUCCGAUAAGACAGCUGUGCUCACCCUCAUAAGAGAAGAGAUAAUCACUAAGGAAAUCGAAGCAAAUGAAUGGAAGAAAAAAUACGAAGAAACCCGACAAGAAGUGUUGGAGAUGAGGAAAAUUGUGGCUGAAUAUGAAAAGACCAUUGCUCAAAUGAUUGAAGAUGAACAGAGGACAAAUAUGACCUCUCAGAAGAGCUUCCAGCAACUGACCAUGGAGAAGGAGCAGGCCCUGGCUGACCUUAAUUCUGUGGAAAGGUCCCUUUCUGAUCUCUUCAGGAGAUACGAGAACCUGAAAGGCGUUCUGGAAGGGUUCAAGAAGAAUGAAGAAGCCUUGAAAAAGUGUGCUCAGGAUUAUUUAGCCAGAGUUAAACAAGAGGAACAGCGGUAUCAGGCCCUGAAAAUCCACGCGGAGGAAAAACUAGACAAAGCCAAUGAGGAGAUUGCUCAGGUUCGAACAAAAGCGAAGGCCGAGAGCGCGGCUCUCCACGCUGGACUCCGGAAGGAGCAGAUGAAGGUGGAGUCCCUGGAAAGAGCCCUUCAGCAGAAGCUUUAUCCUCCUGGGGACAUUGGCAACAUCUGGAGGUGGAUUUAGUUGUCACGACUGGGAGAUGCUACUGGCGUCUCAUGGGUAGAGGCCAGAAGUGCUACUAAACAUCUAACAGUGCACAGGACAGUCCCUACAACAAAGACUGACCCGGCCCAAAAUGCCGGUGGUGCCGCAGUUGAGAAAUUCUGCUGUAGAACCAAGAAAUAGAAGAACUAACGAAAAUCUGCGAUGAGCUGAUUGCGAAGUUGGGAAAGACUGACUGAGUCUCCCCCUCGUUAGCUCAGCAGGUCUGCAUUUGGCUGCUUCUCUCUUAACCACAGUUAUCUUGCCUUAUCCAGGAAAAAUUGCCCCUUUGCAGAGAAAAAAAAAAAAAAAACAACUUUAAAAAAAAGCACAUGCCUACUGCUGCCUGUCCCGCUUUGCUGCCGACACAACAGCCCUGGAAGGAUCCCUGGAGUAUCGCACAGGCCUGGAAGGAGGGGCGUCUGACCACGGUCCGCUGACAGGUUCAGUCGGACGGGCUGCUAAGUUUAGGGUCAUGAUUUCUCGAUCAUCUUUAGUCCAUUUAAAAGUCUUCUUUUCUUUUCCAAGCUCGUUAAAUUUGGGAUUUUGUGCCUACUACUUGGGCUCAUCUCUGUCCACCACCUGUCUAAGUUUUUUGGUGACCUAUUUAUUUCAUCUUUGAAAUUUAAUGUUCAACAUUAGUGGUUUUAUUUGGGGAAAUAAUUUGGCCUAUUGUUAUUUCUGGUUUAUAAGCAAGAAGGGACUCUGAGUACCCAUUUAUACACGCACACGCACACACAUGUUUACAUAUGCUGCUCUUUUUUCUCUGAAGCAUAGUCAAAUAAGAGCUUCUCCACAGAAGACCGUAUUUCCAUAAAUGUAUAACCCUAUCUUGAAAUAGAAUUGUGGCCUAGAGUGCCAACCUCAGAAUUUAGGGAAUGGUAGGUAUAAAGACCCCAGACUCAGGUUUUACAUCUGGGGGAGACUUUUUGCCAGUGUUUCAUUGUCCUGGUGUUGGGACCCUCCUUGGCCUUGACAGGUGCGGCCCCUUUGGGGUCAGUCCUCAGACCACAUGGCAAGUGGCCCCGGCAGGCGGGAAUCCCUCAAAGCUGGGGUUUGGCGAGUUGGUCCCAAAGCAGUUCAGUCUCCUCUGCUUCUGUUUGUUGCUUCAAAAUCAACAUUUACUCUUUAUUUAUCAUCUUGCUAUUUGAAAUAUACAAAGAAAAUCUACUUGUAAAAAAAAAAAAAAAAAAAAGGCUUAGGUGAUCUUCUUUAGUGAAAAGGUAACUGUAGCCGCGGUAGCAGUUAGAAGGUGAAGAAGCAGUUUUUCACAAGUGUGUUGUGUUGUUGUUCAAAAAAAAUUUUAAGGCAAAAAAAUCCUUUCAAACUUAGAUGGUAGAAUUUUUAACAAAACAGGCUAUAAAAAUCAUAUGAACCACUCCAAAAAUCACGUUGGGGAUAUUGUUGAACAAAGCGCAUUGAGUCCCAGAGCAGAGGAGUGCGGGAGCAGAGCUGCACUCAAAACCAAACUCCUCAAGCUCUUCCUGCACUUGGGUCACGGAGUGGGGGCCUUUAAACCCAAGAUGGAAAUUUUCCUCGUGAUGCCGGUGAACUCCCCUCCAUGUGGUAGGCAAAACCAAAUCCAUGCAGUGUUUUAAAGCACUCUUGUUGUCUUAAUCUUACACUCUCUUCACGGUGAUACGCACUCUAUUCCGUACAAGUAAGUUUUCGUACCUUUCUUGUAAAACUCUUGCAUGAUCCAACUUCUGCAACAAAUUGUGCCUCGUGGAGAACCUCUAUAGAUCUUCGAACAUGCAUUUUUUCUUUAGCCGUGUACUGUUCACAUGGGUGCAAUCUUCAGCCCCAGGGAGGUCAGUAGUGUCCUUUAAAGCUAGAAGUCACGUCUUACCGAUAUGCAUUUAUCGUAAUUGGUGCUUAGGCUGUAUUCUAAAGCCUAUUGUCUUAAUAUUUUGUACAAAACAAGAACAGCAGAAAUGAUCUGUGGUUGGAGAAGUGACUUGACAAUCACGUGGGCUUUGAAAGCAGUUCCAUGUGGUCUCUGCACACGGUCAUAGUGCCCAUGGACUGCUCGUGUCUCCAGUUGCUGGAACUGGUUUCUGCUGCCAGUCCUCUGCUCCUAGGGAAAUUAACUGUGCAUUUUGCAGAAAGGAACAUUGCUAAAUCUUUUUACUGCUGUGUUUUGGUGAGACAGCCAUGUUUAUUUGUUUUGUAUUGAUCUGUUUUAAACACGAAAGGCUUAUAGUGGUCUCCAUUCUAAAUCCAUGGUCCUCCAUUUAGGCUUCAUGUGCAUAUUUAAAAAGUAGCUGUGUGUGAAAACCAAGGUGACGACAAUCCUUCCCUAGCAUGCUGGUGGAAGAGACCCCGUAAAGAAACCCCGGUGGGUGAAGUUGCUGCACAAGGAUUACGAAAGGCCCUGGUCAAGUAACUUUUGCCACUGGCCUCUCGGCCACAGCCAGUACAAGGGAAUGUUCUUCCUUCUCAUUUAAUAGAUGGAUAUUCUCCAACAAGAAUAAAAAUGGAGCUGGCAAAUCAAGAGAAUAUCCUGGGCUGAAAGAAGUUAUGUUUGUUUCUCUUUAAAAAUAAGCAAAAGCAAAAAAAAAAACCUUUCAAAAUUUUGGAGAGUAAGAGUUUAGCCUAGAGCUUUGCUUCAAAGCAUGUGAGGGCCAUUACUUGUUGGGUAGGAGGUAGUAAAUCCUGUCACAAGAGUGGGAAGCAGAGGUGAAGGGAAGCUGCUGUCCCAGAUAGCUUUAGGAGUACUAGGUGAUCGACCUUGUUGAGACUGUGGACCCAGAGCCAUUUCUUGUUUUUGACUUUGCCAAAAUGUGGAUAGAUAGUCUUUAUCUAGAAGCAUUUUAACGGGAAGAUUUAGUGUAAGACAGACCAGUUUGUCACUUGGUUGGCUAGUCAGUUACAGUCAGACCUCCUGAGAUUUACUUUAUUUGGAGAACCUCCUGGAAGCCAGUGACCUGCCCAAACCUUUUGUUCUGGAAAUAUUGAGAAGCCCAGUUUUCUCACGUGGUUUCUAGUUUCUUCAGACCCAGCCCAAAUUAGGAAGUGCAGAAGCACAUGAUAGUGAAAACCUCUGAGGAUCUGGCAGCCUUCCAGAAUGAUAUGGGAUCCAAGGGGAGAUUCGUGUUUCGUCCUGGAGCCUAGCUCAAUUUGAAUUUGAUUUCCAGCCAGUUACCUUUCUACCUGUCCCACACUUUGUACGAUCCUCACACAGAUACUUAGCUAUUUAUGAGACAGCCCCGAAUUAGCCCUGUUUAUAAAUGAGGAGCAUAAAGUGCCCCAAAUGUUCCUGGGCUGAUUGAGCAGCCAGAGUAAAGCGCUCAUUUUAAGUAAAGGUAACAGGAGGCCCAUUGGUGGCUCUACGAGCUCAGAAUGGAGUUUUGAAGAGCAAGCAUCAGUAAGUCUUGUGUGCUGUGGUUGGAGGUGAUUCAGCACAUCCUUUUUUAGUGGAGUAAAAGCUCUAAUGCUCCCUUUAAUUUCCUUUGGUUCUUCACUACGACUGGCAGCCAUGGCCUGAAUUACACAUGACUGCUGCCCCUGUAGUCUUUCUGUGACCGUGCGAGCUUGCUCUUGGACUUGGGGUUCUUACUUUAGCCUCUUGUUGGGAAGAGAGAAACUGGGUGUUGAAAGAUUAAAUGUUUCAGGCAAAGGAUUUUAAAGUAAAGAUGUAUAUAUUCUGAAGAAUUUAAAAGAUAGCAGAUUAUUCUUUGCUUAUUAAAGAGUAAAUAUAGUCUGGGAAUCCCAGAAUGCCAAGCCAAAGGUCUAAGAAGUCAUCUUCUGUAAAGAUUUUAAUAACGUAGUAUUUUGAGGAGACUUCUGUCCAAAAAGGUUUGACUGGCCUCCAGAUUCCAGUGGUUUUAUGAAGAGCAGUGUAUCACUGAAACCUUGGUCUCCCACACAGUAUAAAGGUAAAAAGAACUGAUACACUAGACAACUUCUCUCUGAGGGUCUCCUCUGGAAGGUACUGUAACGGCAGCAUUUCCAGUGAAGACCCACUCUCUUGUGCCCAGAGCUAGCAUUCUGGAGACUAAAGAUUGCACUUUCCGUAGUUCUUCGUCCAAAUGCGAUCCCAUUUCUGUGCCUCUUAGCAUGCAGUUAGAUUUGGACAAACAAGAUUCCUAAGGAAUGACUUUAUUAACUAUAAUAUGGUUACAGCUAUUACAUAUAGAUAUAUAGGUAUAUAGAUCCUGGUUAUAGUUCUAAUAUGGAGAUGGCCCACGUGAUGCCAGCCUGUGGCAGUCUGAAUAAUGCUUUAACCCAUCUGGAGGAGGCCAGGCACAGCUGAGGUGUGGUUUGAACCUUCCCUGUAUCCACUCUUCACUCUAGGGCCGUGAAGGUGUCACUUUGUUCCCCUCUGCCUUUUAGUGGUAUCUGAAAUACACAAGGUCUGCCCCAGUCACAUUGUUAAACCGAUGCUCUGUGAAGAACUUCCACGUGGACAUACGAAGAUUUGAACUCCUGACCCCACCCCCUGUCCAGAUACAGGGCAUCCUGCGUUCCCAACCACCCCGCAGCUUCUUCCCAGCCCCUUCUCACGCCCGGGGACAGGAUCCAGGCCUUCCUUUAUAAACCUCCCAGGUAGCAGUAAGCUUGUCGGUGUCGCCAUUAGCAAGCGUGUGUUUGCCAGUAGAUGCCCAUUUGUACUCACGUGCCAACAAGUACAUGUCAGCUGCCCAUCUGCUUCCGUUACGCCCCCUCGGGUGCCGGGAAGUGUGUGAGGAACCUCUCGUCGGGAGGCGUGAACGCUGCACUGACUACUGCUGUCAGGAUCGUGUCGUGUGGAAUAAUCAUCUACAUAAAUUUUAUAUGCACAGUACUUCCCCUUUUAUAUGUCAGGUAAAUAUUUGUAAAAGUUAUACUCACACAAAUGAAAUGAUUAUAAUGAUUACUAAUAUAUUUUUUCCAUGUUUCAUUGCCUGAAUAAAAACUGUUUACCACUGUUA